GAUGAACGCUGGCGGCGUGCCUAAUACAUGCAAGUCGAGCGAAUGGAUUAAGAGCUUGCUCUUAUGAAGUUAGCGGCGGACGGGUGAGUAACACGUGGGUAACCUGCCCAUAAGACUGGGAUAACUCCGGGAAACCGGGGCUAAUACCGGAUAACAUUUUGAACCGCAUGGUUCGAAAUUGAAAGGCGGCUUCGGCUGUCACUUAUGGAUUGACCCGCGUCGCAUUAGCUAGUUGGUGAGGUACGGCUCACCAAGGCAACGAUGCGUAGCCGGCCUGAGAGGGUGGUCGGCCACACUGGGACUGAGACACGGCUCAGAGUCCGACGGGAGGCAGCAGUAGGGAAUCUUCCGCAAUGGACGAAAGUCUGACGGAGCAACGCCGCGUGAGUGAUGAAGGCUUUCGGGUCGUAAAACUCUGUUGUUAGGGAAGAACAAGUGCUAGUUGAAUAAGCUGACACCUUGACGGUACCUAACCAGAAAGCCACGGCUAACUACGUGCCAGCCGCCGCAGUAA
rnacentral:rRNA from 1 species